GGGCAUCGGGUAGCACCUGCAGCCGAGCGGUAGAGUCCCUUCGGGGACUUGAGAGCGGCGCACGGGUGCGGAACACGUGUGCAACCUGCCUUUAUCUGGGGGAUAGCCUUUCGAAAGGAAGAUUAAUACCCCAUAAUAUACUGGAUGGCAUCAUCCGGUAUUGAAAACUCCGGUGGAUAGAGAUGGGCACGCGCAAGAUUAGAUAGUUGGUGAGGUAACGGCUCACCAAGUCUGCGAUCUUUAGGGGGCCUGAGAGGGUGAUCCCCCACACUGGUACUGAGACACGGACCAGACUCCUACGGGAGGCAGCAGUGAGGAAUAUUGGACAAUGGGUGAGAGCCUGAUCCAGCCAUCCCGCGUGAAGGACGACGGCCCUAUGGGUUGUAAACUUCUUUUGUAUAGGGAUAAACCUACCCUCGUGAGGGUAGCUGAAGGUACUAUACGAAUAAGCACCGGCUAACUCCGUGCCAGCAGCCGCGGUAAUACGGAGGGUGCAAGCGUUAUCCGGAUUUAUUGGGUUUAAAGGGUCCGUAGGCGGAUCUGUAAGUCAGUGGUGAAAUCUCACAGCUUAACUGUGAAACUGCCAUUGAUACUGCAGGUCUUGAGUGUUGUUGAAGUAGCUGGAAUAAGUAGUGUAGCGGUGAAAUGCAUAGAUAUUACUUAGAACACCAAUUGCGAAGGCAGGUUACUAAGCAACAACUGACGCUGAUGGACGAAAGCGUGGGGAGCGAACAGGAUUAGAUACCCUGGUAGUCCACGCCGUAAACGAUGCUAACUCGUUUUUGGGGCUUCAGACUUCAAAGACUAACCGAAAGUGAUAAGUUACCCCCCGGGGAAGUAAAACGCAAGUUUGAAACUCAAGGAAUUGACGGGGGCCCGACAAGCGGGGAUUAUGUGGUUAAUUCGAUGAUACCGAGGAACCUUACCAGGGCUAAAUGGGAAAUGACAGGUUAAAAAUAAACUUUCUUCGAACUUUUUCAGGGGCUGCAUGUUGGCGCC
rnacentral:rRNA from 1 species